GGAUUGUGGUUUAGUGGUAGAGCGCUUGCAUAGCAUGCAUGAGGCACUGGGUUUGAUCCCUAGCACCA
rnacentral:tRNA from 1 species